rnacentral:sRNA from 1 species
AAUUAGCCCGGAUAGGAAUGGUAUCCUUUUAUUGUUUGCAAAACGCCGUUCGACUGUACUUAGUCUCCGCUCAGCAUAUACUGCUCAGGGGUGACAAACAAUAAAAGAUAUAAUGGAUAGCCGGAAUAGCU